UACGAAGGGGGCUAGCGUUGCUCGGAUUGACUGGGCGUAAAGGGCGCGUAGGCGGUUUGCACAGUCAGACGUGAAAUUCCUGGGCUCAACCUGGGGGCUGCGUUUGAUACGUGCAGGCUUGAGUUCGGAAGAGGGUCGUGGAAUUCCCAGUGUAGAGGUGAAAUUCGUAGAUAUUGGGAAGAACACCGGUGGCGAAGGCGGCGCUCUGGACCGAGACUGACGCUGAGGCGCGAAAGCGUGGGGAGCAAACAGG
rnacentral:rRNA from 1 species